rnacentral:rRNA from 1 species
AUUGAACGCUGGCGGCAGGCCUAACACAUGCAAGUCGAACGAGUGGCGGACGGGUGAGUAAUGUCUGGGAAACUGCCUGAUGGAGGGGGAUACCUACUGGAAACGGUCGCUAAUCCCGCAUACCAUCGGAUGUGCCCAUAUGGGAUUAGCUAGUAGGUGGGGUAACGGCUCACCUAGGACACGAUCCCUAGCUGGUCUGAGAGGAUGACCAGCCACACGGGAAUGGAGACACGGUCCAGACUCCUACGGGAGGCAGCAGUGGGGAAUAUUGCACAAUGGGCGCAAGCCUGAUGCAGCCAUGCCGGGUGUAUGAAGAAGGCCUUCGGGUUGUAAAGUACUGUCAGCGGGGAGGCGUUACCCACAGAAGAAGCACCGGCUAACUCCGUGCCAGCAGCCGCGGUAAUUC